UCACGAGCUUAUUUUCGUAGUACGUACAGAGGCUGCGUGCAAGCACGCCAGCAAAGUACGUGGAUAAGGUAGACCUCGCACACACAAACUUACAAUUUCAUACAUACGGAGGACAUGCACAUACACGUACGCGAUACCUGCCUCCGGCCCAAUCCAGAUACGUGCGUCGUCGUCGAUCGAGCCCGCGUGAAGCCGAUCUCAGUCGGACCUGACGACGUAGCUCUCCUUGCGCUCGUGGAACUCGCCGGUGCAG
rnacentral:lncRNA from 1 species